GGAAAGAUGGCUGAGCGGCUUAAAGCACUGGUCUUGAAAACCAGCGAGGUUAAAACCUUCGAAGGUUCGAAUCCUUCUCUUUCCG
rnacentral:tRNA from 2 species